GACGAACGCUGGCGGCGUGCCUAAUACAUGCAAGUCGAACGAGAGCGCCCGGUGCUUGCACUGGUCAAUCUAGUGGCGAACGGGUGAGUAACACGUGGGUAACCUGCCCAUCAGAGGGGGAUAACAUUCGGAAACGGAUGCUAAAACCGCAUAGGUCUUCGAACCGCAUGGUUUGAAGAGGAAAAGAGGCGCAAGCUUCUGCUGAUGGAUGGACCCACGGUGCAUUAGCUAGUUGGUGAGGUAACGGCUCACCAAGGCCGUGAUGCAUAGCCGACCUGAGAGGGUGAUCGGCCACAUUGGGACUGAGACACGGCCCAAACUCCUACGGGAGGCAGCAGUAGGGAAUCUUCCGCAAUGGACGCAAGUCUGACGGAGCAACGCCGCGUGAGUGAAGAAGGUUUUCGGAUCGUAAAACUCUGUUGUUAGAGAAGAACAAGUGCUAGAGUAACUGUUAGCGCCUUGACGGUAUCUAACCAGAAAGCCACGGCUAACUACGUG
rnacentral:rRNA from 1 species